UAAGAGCUAUGCAGGUUUGUCAAAGG
rnacentral:piRNA from 1 species